GACGAACGCUGGCGGCGUGCUUAACACAUGCAAGUCGAACGGAAAGGCCCUGCUUUUGUGGGGUGCUCGAGUGGCGAACAGGUGAGUAACACGUGAGUAACCUGCCCUUGACUUUGGGAUAACUUCAGGAAACUGGGGCUAAUACCGGAUAGGAGCUCCUGCUGCAUGGUGGGGGUUGGAAAGUUUCGGCGGUUGGGGAUGGACUCGCGGCUUAUCAGCUUGUUGGUGGGGUAGUGGCUUACCAAGGCUUUGACGGGUAGCCGGCCUGAGAGGGUGACCGGCCACAUUGGGACUGAGAUACGGCCCAGACUCCUACGGGAGGCAGCAGUGGGGAAUAUUGCACAAUGGGCGGAAGCCUGAUGCAGCAACGCCGCGUGCGGGAUGACGGCCUUCGGGUUGUAAACCGCUUUCGCCUGUGACGAAGCGUGAGUGACGGUAAUGGGUAAAGAAGCACCGGCUAACUACGUGCCAGCAGCCGCGGUGAUACGUAGGGUGCGAGCGUUGUCCGGAUUUAUUGGGCGUAAAGGGCUCGUAGGUGGUUGAUCGCGUCGGAAGUGUAAUCUUGGGGCUUAACCCUGAGCGUGCUUUCGAUACGGGUUGACUUGAGGAAGGUAGGGGAGAAUGGAAUUCCUGGUGGAGCGGUGGAAUGCGCAGAUAUCAGGAGGAACACCAGUGGCGAAGGCGGUUCUCUGGGCCUUUCCUGACGCUGAGGAGCGAAAGCGUGGGGAGCGAACAGGCUUAGAUACCCUGGUAGUCCACGCUGUAAACGGUGGGUACUAGGUGUGGGGUCCAUUCCACGGGUUCCGUGCCGUAGCUAACGCUUUAAGUACCCCGCCUGGGGAGUACGGCCGCAAGGCUAAAACUCAAAGGAAUUGACGGGGCCCCGCACAAGCGGCGGAGCAUGCGGAUUAAUUCGAUGCAACGCGUAGAACCUUACCUGGGUUUGACAUGGAUCGGGAGUGCUCAGAGAUGGGUGUGCCUCUUUUGGGGUCGGUUCACAGGUGGUGCAUGGCUGUCGUCAGCUCGUGUCGUGAGAUGUUGGGUUAAGUCCCGCAACGAGCGCAACCCUUGUUCACUGUUGCCAGCACGUUAUGGUGGGGACUCAGUGGAGACCGCCGGGGUCAACUCGGAGGAAGGUGGGGAUGACGUCAAGUCAUCAUGCCCCUUAUGUCCAGGGCUUCACGCAUGCUACAAUGGCUGGUACAGAGGGUGGCGAGCCUGUGAGGGUGAGCGAAUCUCGGAAAGCCGGUCUCAGUUCGGAUUGGGGUCUGCAACUCGACCUCAUGAAGUCGGAGUCGCUAGUAAUCGCAGAUCAGCAACGCUGCGGUGAAUACGUUCCCGGG
rnacentral:rRNA from 1 species